rnacentral:rRNA from 1 species
UACGAAGGGGGCUAGCGUUGUUCGGAAUUACUGGGCGUAAAGCGCGCGCAGGCGGUCCUUUAAGUCUGAUGUGAAAGCCCACGGCUCAACCGUGGAAGGUCAUUGGAAACUGGAGGACUUGAGUACAGAAGAGGAAAGCGGAAUUCCACGUGUAGCGGUGAAAUGCGUAGAGAUGUGGAGGAACACCAGUGGCGAAGGCGGCUUUCUGGUCUGUAACUGACGCUGAGGCGCGAAAGCGUGGGGAGCAAACAGG